rnacentral:rRNA from 1 species
AACCUUCGGGUUAGUGGCGGACGGGUGAGUAACGCGUGAGAAUCUGCCCUCAGGAGGGGGAUAACAGCUGGAAACGGCUGCUAAUACCCCAUAUGCCGCGAGGUGAAAUGAAUUUCGCCUGAGGAUGAGCUCGCGUCUGAUUAGCUAGUUGGUGUAGGUAAAGGCUCACCAAGGCAUCGAUCAGUAGCUGGUCUGAGAGGAUGAUCAGCCACACUGGGACUGAGACGCGGCCCAGACUCCUACGGGAGGCAGCAGUGGGGAAUUUUCCGCAAUGGGCGAAAGCCUGACGGAGCAACGCCGCGUGGGGGAUGAAGGCCUCUGGGCUGUAAACCUCUUUUAUCAAGGAAGAAGAUCUGACGGUACUUGAUGAAUAAGCCACGGCUAAUUCCGUGCCAGCAGCCGCGGUAAUACGGGAGUGGCAAGCGUUAUCCGGAAUUAUUGGGCGUAAAGCGUCCGCAGGCGGCCCAGAAAGUCUGCUGUUAAAACGUGGAGCUUAACUCCAUCAUGGCAGUGGAAACUGUUGGGCUUGAGUGUGGUAGGGGCAGAGGGAAUUCCCGGUGUAGCGGUGAAAUGCGUAGAUAUCGGGAAGAACACCAGUGGCGAAGGCGCUCUGCUGGGCCAUCACUGACGCUCAUGGACGAAAGCCAGGGGAGCGAAAGGGAUUAGAUACCCCUGUAGUCCUGGCCGUAAACGAUGAACACUAGGUGUCGGGGGAAUCGACCCCCUCGGUGUCGUAGCCAACGCGUUAAGUGUUCCGCCUGGGGAGUACGCACGCAAGUGUGAAACUCAAAGGAAUUGACGGGGGCCCGCACAAGCGGUGGAAUAUGUGGUUUAACUCGAUGCAACGCGAAGAACCUUACCAGGGUUUGGCAUCCUGCGAACCUCUUGGAAACGAGAGGGUGCCUUCGGGAACGCAGUGACAGGUGGUGCAUGGCUGUCGUCAGCUCGUGUCGUGAGAUGUUGGGUUAAGUCCCGCAACGAGCGCAACCCACGUCUUU